GGAGGCAUGUCAAAAGAAUAAAGACAAUCGAGGCAACGUCAAGUUCCAUCAAACAACUAGCUCUCGUAGCUACCCGGUUUUUGUAGAAAACUUGGACAUGAGUUUGAGGAUAAUGUGCCUGAUGCAUUUGAUUUGUUCAAAGUCUGCCACUACAAUAA